UUAAAUUGAAGAGUUUGAUCAUGGCUCAGAUUGAACGCUGGCGGCAGGCCUAACACAUGCAAGUCGAACGGUAGCACAGAGAGCUUGCUCUCGGGUGACGAGUGGCGGACGGGUGAGUAAUGUCUGGGAAACUGCCUGAUGGAGGGGGAUAACUACUGGAAACGGUAGCUAAUACCGCAUAAUGUCGCAAGACCAAAGAGGGGGACCUUCGGGCCUCUUGCCAUCAGAUGUGCCCAGAUGGGAUUAGCUAGUAGGUGGGGUAACGGCUCACCUAGGCGACGAUCCCUAGCUGGUCUGAGAG
rnacentral:rRNA from 1 species